GAUGAACGCUGGCGGCGUGCCUAAUACAUGCAAGUCGAGCGAACAGACGAUGAUCUUGCUCCUCUGUCGUUAGCCGCGGACGGGUGAGUAACACGUGUAUAAUCUACCUAUAAUACUGGUAUAACUUCGGGAAACCGGCUCUAAUACCGUAUAAUAUAUUGAUCCGCAUUGUUGAAUAGUGAAAUUCGGUUUUUCGGUCACUUAUAGAUGGAUCUGGGCCGGAUUAGCUAGUUGUGAAUGUAAAGGGUUACCAAGGGUACGAUGCGUAGGCGAACUGAGAGGGUGAUAGGCCACACUGGAACUGAGACAAGGUCAAGACGACUACGGGAGGCAGCAGUAGGGAAUCUUACGCAAUGGGCGAAAGCCUGACGGAGCAACGCCGAGUGAGAGAUGAAGGUCUUCGGAUCGUAAAACUCUGUUAUGAGGGAAAAACAAAUGUGUAAGUAAAUAUGCACGUAUUGACGGUAACUAAUAAGAAAGCAACGGCUAACUACGUG
rnacentral:rRNA from 1 species